ensembl:lncRNA
GCAUCUCUCUUUCUCUCUCUCUCUUUCUCUCUUUCUCUCUCUGACUCCUGGAUUGGUUGGAAACAUGGAGGGCGGCACACACCCUUGGAUUGUGAUGGAAGUGAUCGAGUGUCCCUUUUUGUGUGCAGAGUGAGCUGUCUGUUCUUAGAGUGGGGUCAACGAGGACCAAGCGGAUUUUCCAACACAUAUAGGCAAUAUGGCACUUGUUGUAGUACUACCUGGCUCUCCAUGUGGGCCUUGCCCACCCCCUCAAAGGAGGGAUGCUUUAGACACACUGGGGGAUGGGAAGAUUUGAUGACCAAGGAUGCAUCACUGAGCUGGACUACCAGAAUACACACACUGGGAUCUACUGGUUGGAAAUUACAAACUUCUGAAUGGAUGUUUUCACAUGUGGAGAAGAUGCUGGUCUCUUCGUCCUGCUGACGUGGUCUCGGUAGUUUUGGGUGUAUCUCCGUUCCUUGUCAAUUUCCAUCUCCUGUUCUUCAAGAAAGGCCCACCUUAGUCCGAGAGAAGAUGUGACCCAGGGAAAGGAAUAAUCUGGCUGCCUGUAGCCCCCUCCCUUUCUCCCACACGUCUGGCUCAUAGCUCUCUGUCUUUCUCUGUCUCACUUGGUCUCUUUUGGAGAUAUUACCACUCUCACCGGGGAUGGAUGUACCGCCUGAAACCAGCAAGCAUGUAAAGAAGUCCACAAGUCAAAAGCUGGAGGAUCAGAAAAAGGUAAGAUAUGUGGUUCAUUCCUACCACUUUAACUGUCUUCCGCAGGGCUGAAAGUUCAAGACCAUCAGCAAUGCAGAAUGGAUGAGAUUAUCCACGCCAGUUUUCUUGUUGUACUCAAAACUGCUGCUGUUGGGUUUUGUAUGUCCUGUUGGUUAUUCAUAAGCAGAGAUUUAGGUAGUUCUGCAGAGGUGUAGGAAUGAUCUGUAAAGUGGAGGGAACACAAUUAUAACAGUUAUUAUCAAGUCAAUUAAUAUUAAUUGUUAUCAUGUAAUUAAUAGUCGGUAGGUCAAGAAAUCCUACCUAUUAUGGACUAAACCUAAUAUGGCCGGCCACUUUAUUUUUUUCAUCAUCCUUAAUAUCUUAAGCAUGAGAGGAGGGGAUAAAAGUCAGGUUAAAGUUACUAUAGGCUUUAUAUAUGGAAUUUACUGGUGUUUGCACUGGUUAGAAGAACUGAAACACUUCAUUCAGAUUUGGAAAAGCACUGGGAAGUUGUUUAGCGCCUCAGGUCUGCUCUACAUUCUACAUCUAUGACACUGUCCUUCUGUCGCUCACACUGCAGGUGAGAGUGGAGCUCCUGCUCUUAAGUGUGAUUAGUUUUUAACACUUUGCCUAUGGACAUGAGAGAAGUGUGUGCACUGUUUGAUCUGGAUGGAGUCCCGCUGACCUGAUUCUGGCUAAUGAGAUACCUAUGAUAAGCCAUCUUCUU